GCAAAUGUAGCUCAGUGGUAGAGCACUUGUUUAGUAUACACGAGGCCCUGGGUUCCAUACCCAGCACUGGGG
rnacentral:tRNA from 1 species